GGUUACUGCUAUCGAGGUUCGACUAAGCCAUGCGAGUCGAAUGUAGCAAUACAUGGCGAACUGCUCAGUAACACGUGGACAACCUGCCCUUAGGACGGGGAUAAACCCGGGAAACUGGGUAUAAUACCCGAUAGGUCUCGAUUGCUGGAAUGCAUCGAGAUUUAAAGCUCCGGCGCCUAAGGAUGGGUCUGCGGCCUAUCAGGUAGUAGUGGGUGUAGCGUACCUACUAGCCUACGACGGGUACGGGUUGUGAGAGCAAGAGCCCGGAGAUGGAUUCUGAGACACGAAUCCAGGCCCUACGGGGUGCAGCAGGCGCGAAAACUUUACAAUGCUGGCAACAGCGAUAAGGGAACCUCGAGUGCCAGGUUACAAAUCUGGCUGUCGAGAUGCCUAAAAAGCAUUUCAUAGCAAGGGCCGGGCAAGACCGGUGCCAGCCGCCGCGGUAACACCGGCGGCUCGAGUGGUAACCGUUAUUAUUGGGUCUAAAGGGUCUGUAGCCGGCCGGAUAAGUCUCUUGAGAAAUCUGGCAGCUUAACUGUCAGGCUUUCAGGAGAUACUGUCUGGCUCGAGGCCGGGAGAGGUGAGAGGUACUUCAGGGGUAGGGGUGAAAUCUUGUAAUCCUUGAAGGACCACCAGUGGCGAAGGCGUCUCACCAGAACGGACCUGACGGCAAGGGACG
rnacentral:rRNA from 1 species